rnacentral:rRNA from 1 species
GAGUAUUUCCACGACUUCCUAACGGCAAGGCCAAAUCAGUGAGUCUAUUCUCGCUCGAAUGGAGCAAGGCUGAUGCAGCAUGCCGGGUGAGGGAAGAAUGUCGUUUCGGGUUAGUAAAGCUCUUUCAGCGGGGGACGAAAGGGUUAGAGGAUUAAUACCAUCUUCGAUUGUACGUUAUCCAGCAGAAAGAACGCCCCGGUCUAACUGCCGUGCCCAGCAGCCGCAGAUAAUACGGAGSAGGGCGAUGUGUUUAUAGGAAAUUUGUUGGGAGUAAAAGCGCAGGCAGUCGGUCUGUCAAGUUGGAUAAGAAAAUCSCCGGGCUCAACCCGGGCCACUGCAUUCGAAGGUGGCAGGCUAGAGUUUAGUAGAGGGGGGUAGACUUCCAGGUGUAGCGGUGAAAUGCGUAGAGAUAUGGAGGAAUACCGGUGAGGAAGGCGUCCCCUCUGGACAAAGACUGACGUUCAGGUGAGAAAGCGGGGGGAGCAAACAGGAUUAGAUACCCUGGUAGUCCACUCCGUAAACGAUGUCGAUUUGGAGGUUGUGCCCUUGAGGUGUGGCUUCCGGAGAUAACGCGUUAAAUCCACCKCCUGGGGAGUACGGCCGCAAGGUUAAAAGUCAAAAGAAUUGGGGGGGGCCCCCACAAGCGGUGGAGCAUGUGGUUUAAUUAGAUGCAACGAGAACAWCCUUACAUGGUUUUGACAUCCACAGAACUUUGCAAAGAAGGAUUGGUGCCUUUGGGAACUAUGAGACAGGUGKUGCAUGGCGGUCGUCAGCUCGUUUUGUGAAAUGUUGGGUUAAGUCCCGCAACGAGSGCAACCCUUAUCCUUUGUUGCCACCGGUUCGGCCGGGAACUCAAAGGAGACUSCCAGUGAUAACCUGGAGGAAGGGGGGGAUGACGUCAAGUCAUCAUGCCCCUUACGUCCAGGGCUACACACGUGCUACAAUGGCAUAUACAAAGAGAAGGGACCUCGCGAGAACAAGCGGACCUCAUAAAGUAUGUCGUAGUCCGGAUUGGAGUCUGCAACUCGACUCCAUGAAGUGGGAAUCGCUAGUAAUCGUAGAUCAGAAUGCUGCGGUGAAUACGUUCCCGGCCCUUGUACACACCGCCCGUCACACCAUGGGAGUGGGCUGCAAAAGAAGUAGUUAGUUUACCCUUCGGAGGGCGCAUCGCAUCGUUGAUA